rnacentral:misc_RNA from 1 species
AUGAAAUGCAAAUAUAACUCUACAUCACAAUAUUAAGGAAAUCAUAUAGGAAACCUAACUACUUUUUCUUUUGUUUGAAUUGCAGGAAAAAAAAAAUAGCUCUUUGGGUGUAAGAGUCAUUGCCCAUAAACUCACGAUCCGCGGUUAAAUAGUUUCGUUGUCCCUGAUUUAACCCAGUCAGGGAGACCUACCACCCAUCGUAAGAAUCUUUCCAACAAAAUUGCCAACAAAUUACAUGAUCUUUAUACUAUUUUCAUGGUGUCUUGAGAAAAAUACAGACAAAACCCUUGAUCUUGCUUUUGUAUUGUCAUAUCUUGUAAACAGGUACAAUUCCAAGAAGGAAAAAGCAUUUCCUCAUGACCACGGCUGUUGCUUCACACAGCAAAAGUCUGGUUGUUUCCUCGGCUGACCCAACAACCUGCUCAAUUUUCCAAUAUUACAACGUUGGCUCUUGGGUUCGUAAACAUCUUAGUCUGUCUAUUGUCAGUUCACCGAAGAAAAAUAAAUAGGAGGGAAAACUUCCAAGUCAUUACAUAUUGCAUACUGUACACCAACUGGCCAGUUCACAUAAAAUAUUUUGAAGACUAUGAUGCCGCAUGAGCUAGUUAGCUGUUUUGCCACGUGAUGGGCAAGUCAACAUUCUAUCAUUAGCAUAAUAUUUUAGCAUUGUUGGACCAUAACUGGCAAUUGGAAUAAAAUUUGGUGAAGUAUUCAGAUAAAUUAUAGAGAUAUUCACACAACACAUUUGGCAGGAGAUUGGUGCAAGCCUCCUCAACGAUCUCAGCAAACUGUAGUAAAUGAAGCCCCAGUGCACGCUCAUCAGGAUGAGCCAAAACCAAAACUCCAAUCUGCAUCAGAAGAAUAGACAUGAGAAGCAAAAAUGAAUAAAUAAAAUAAAAAAUAUCAAACUUUGCUACUUGAGAUGUUAACUGCCAUUACUUUAGACAAUAAUUCAAAUUCUUAAAAUCCACAAGCAUUAAAAAACUGGGUAAGUAUGCCCAGACACCUCAGUACUAGGUUUAGAUGAGACAAAAAAAGGAUGCAACUGAUAUUCAAAGCUAUAACAUCCCUCUUAAAAGAAAAGCCAUAUAAACAUAAUAUUUGUCACAGGUUUUCCAUGAAAUUUUGCUUAACUUUUAGAUUAAAGAUUCAGAGUUGGGGGAGUAUAUUAUAUCACCAGCAGAACAAACUAGAAAAGCAGCAUGCCUUUGAAAAUUCACACGAUAUCAUGGUCAAACCAAUAUCAUCAUAGUAAAAAAGGAUUAUCAGCACAGUUUAAAUUCUAAUUUAAAUCAAGUCUCACGAUGUAAAAAACCAACUCCAAGUGGUAUUAAUGCAGUCAAGUUAGAAAAAGAAGCCUUUUUUGGGGUAACAUGAACUUUGAAACAUGAAAAUUUCAAUGAUAUCUGCAGCUUCAAGUAGGAAGAGAACUCACUUUCUUCAAUUCCUCUAUGUCUUUACCAGAUUUCCUGAUGAUUGAACAGAUCCGAGCAUGUGCAUAUAACAAAUAAACAGCAGUAUUUCCCUUAUCAUUAAGCAUCUGAUCAUAGUUGAAUGUAUAAUUGGUCAAUCUGUUGUUUUUCAAGUCAGCAUACUUGAUAGCACCAUAACCAAUUGCCUCAGCUGUUUGCUCAAGCUCCUCUUCAGUCCACUCUUCAGCCUUGCCACGCUCAACAAGUGCUGCUUUGCUACGAGUCUUUGCUUCAUCUAGCAAAUCAACUAACCGAACCACUUCAGUAGCUCGAGUUCUAAAACGCUUGCCAUCAUCUCCAAGAACAAGGCCAAAUCCAACAUGGCUAGCUUUAGGAAACAUACUAUCACCAGCUGGGAGCCAACCCGCACGUUUGGCAGCUUUGAAUACCAUAUCAAAGUGCUGCUGCUGACCAACAUCAGUAACAUAUAUAAUCCACUCAGCUUUAUCUUCAUUAAGGCGAUACCAAAGGGCAGCUAGAUCAGUAGAAGCAUAGUUGUAACCACCAUCACUCUUCACAACAAUAAGAGGUAUAUUAAUUCCUUCAAUAAAGAUCACGCGAGCACCUUCACUUUCUUGAACUAAUCCUUUAUUGCUUAAUCCCUCUAUAACCCCAGGAAUGAAUGGAUUGUAAAAGCUUUCUCCCUUUUCCUCAAGAUGAACUCCAAGGCGUUGAUAGACCUUAUCGAACUCCUUCCUGCUGAUGUCACAGAUCUGCGCCCAUGCUUGGCGGUACUUGGGUUCUCCACCCUGGAGGCAAACAACUGCUUUCUGUGCCCUCUCCUUAAAUGCAGAAUCAGUGUCAAACCUCUGUUUUGAUGCCUUAUAGAAUGCCUGUAGAUCUCCAAUGGCUCUUUCAUUAACAUCUUCAAAGUUUGGGAACUUUUCGAAGAGGAAUUCAAUCAACAUACCAAACUGUGUCCCCCAAUCACCAACAUGAUUUCGUCGAAGCACAUCAACCUUUGAGAAUUCAAGCAUUCGGGCUAGUGUGUCACCAAUAAUAGUGGAUCUUAAAUGGCCAACAUGCAUUUCUUUUGCAAUAUUGGGUGAGGAAAAGUCAACCACAGCCCUUUUGAUCGAAAACUUGGGCGCCCAAGUAUCAAUACCAUCAACUAGCAUAUUUUGAAUUUUCUCAGCCAACCAGGUCUUUGACAAAACAACAUUCACAAAACCAGGUCCUGCCACAGAGCAAGAUUCUAUCAUUUCAGACGGAGGAAGAUUUUUCAUUAUUGCCUGUCCAACUGCUGGAGGGCCCUUAAAAUCAGUAUUUUUUCCUUUUAUUUUAGACCAAAGGCUCAUGGCAUUAUUACAUUGAUAAUCGCCGAAUUUGGCAGUGCAGGCAGCAACCAAAGGCUCAACAUCGUGCUCACUAGGGACAGUCUCUCUAAGAGAUGCUUCAAACAAUUUCGCCAACUGUUUCUUUAAAUUGCCACUGUUCUCCUCACUCGUAUUCGCCAUGGUCGAUAUCGACUGCGUCUUUGUAGCUAAAACAAUUCUUCUUGAUGUCGCUCUUAACAAGUCUGUCUUGUUUCAGAGCAAAAUGAUAGCAUAAAAACCAAAAAAACCAAAUCCAAAUUCCAGAGGCGAAGAGAGGAGAGGAGUGGAAAUGAGAGAGAAGGUUGAAGGAGAGGACUGGAGGGGAUACCGGCGCAAGCAGAAGGGUUAGGGAGGACCCUAGCAUGCCUUUUUCUUUUAUAUAUUUUGCCCUUACUGACACUGUUUCUGCUCUACGUGCUCCCGCUACUGGCUUUAGCAAAUUAGGGAUUUUCUUAUGGUUAUUUGCUUUUGCCAAUGAGAAGCCAACGAGUCAGCUUAC